CCUACUGUGCUGGGAUCAGGCCUUUCACGGGGAGGUUGCCUGUGAAGCAGACAGCCCUACUCCAUCCCAACAGGAAGUCCCUAUCCCCAGCUGGUCCUUUUAGCAUUUUCCAUCACAUGUUGUUUCAUCUUAGAAACUGGAUUUAAUGAAUAAGUUACUUCCAGCACUCUUGCAGAGGCAUCUACACUUCUCCUAAGCAGAAUGAGAAGAACUAGGUAAGGAGCCAAGUCUCCCUGCUCUGCUGCUUGUUUUCGUCCUUUGUUUCUGGAGUGCUGAGCCCAGACAUGGACAGCUCAUGAUAAUGAUACUUUCUCUACUCCAUAAAAACAGCUCCUGUCUGCUUCUACAGAUGCUCUCUCAGAACGUGAACAUACUGCACCCUGAGCUUCCUUCCCAUCAGGACCAUCUGCCUCCAUUUCCAGCUGCCAGACAGGACAAAGGACAGUCACUCCCUCCUUCCCCCCAAGUCUGGCUUUAUCUAAAAUUCUCAUCCCUCAAGUGCUGAUUUUGGAUGCAUUGUCACAAAUACAUGUUUGCAAGGAAUGGGCACAACAAAGGUCCCAUCUUAAGUUUCUCAGAGCUCUUUUCUUAUGACAUAUAAGAGAACAAGUUUGACGCAGUAUCUCAAGUACAGAAAAGGAGAUUGGCAUUACAGAUUUCUGCAUCUGCAACCUCAGCAUGCAUAUGCACCAGUGUUCUCCUUCCACCCAUACACACAUGGGCACAUACGUAUGCAUGCAUUUUGUGCAUGAAGACAAGAAUGUAACCAAAACAGAGGACAGUAGUUGUGCAUGUCAACUGAGCCCCAAUGGUAUGCUUCUAAGGCACAACACAGCCCUGUAUGGAUCUCCUCCGCUGAGGAACUAUGAGGAACUACCAUAGUGGGCAAUGUGUGCUUUGAGGUUUCAGUGCACUGAUUUAAAUAAAGACAGCAGCUCAUUUUUCUCAUCUGACUUGAGGACUGGUGGUACUUCAAGAGUCUGACUUUAAUGUCAAAGGUGAGCCAGCAGUCUUCCUUGGCUUUCAAAGCAUGGCAGCGUCUGCUUCGCCAAGUUAAAGCACCCAUGAAUGCUCUGCAUACAGGCUGCAGUCGAAAGAAGAGCUCCACCUGAGCCCUGGAGGAACCCAGGUCUGGACCACAGGGUUCAGGCAGCCUCAUUCACUCAGAUAAACACAUUUCUGCAGAAGCUUUAUGGAGAAAUUCCCCGUUGGUAAGCAGGGCUGCUGUGUUAGAACCAGACUCACAGUGCCAAUGACAGUGCACUACUGCAGAUGGAAUGUCUUAGGAAGCUUCACCCUCCAGCUUGGCUCUCACACCAAAAACCCCAGCCAGUUCAACCCAGGGCAUCUGUGGAUGGAUGCAGAUCUGGCCAAGCAUGGACUGUUUCCGUCUCUGCUGAGCAGCAGUUUGUCACUCCCAGAGAAGGCUUUGUCGUCUGAACCAAACACUCAACAGGUGGCUCCCUUGACAUUCGCCAGGGUGACACAUUAGCCAGGAUUUCCUCUCUGGACCAGUUAUUUCCCCCAGUUUUCAUUUCCUUCAGUUCCCUGUUUAUUAUCCUUCUUCCGUUUCUCCUUGGAAUCAGCAGAAAGUUUCUGUGAGAUGUGUUUUGCUCCCAAGUGCUUUUCGGUGCCCCAGCAGAAGGGUGUCCAGGGAUAGCUCACGCUCCUCUUUUAGUAGAAUGGUUUCAACACAGAGAAGUGGUCCCAUUCUGCUCUCCAAGAAUGGCAUCCAGAGGCCAGACCUAUGAACAGAUUCUUUGUACUCUGGGUCCUCUCUGGUGCGUUAGCCCCCAGGAAGGGAGGCCAGGGCCUGCUGUGAGAUCUCAGGCCCCAGCUUCAGCAGCAGCACUGACUAGACAUUUUUUUUCAGUGGAUGACUGAAGCUGAGAUGGACAAAUGCAUUUGGACUCCAUCAUCCAACAGUGUCAUGCUCUGGUGGGAAAGAGUGGGAAGACUGUGACAACCUAGAGCUCAAUGAAAAUGACCUUUUAUGGAGACUAGGAGGACCCCUGCAUUUUGCCCUUGCUGCCACAGGUCCUGUUGCUCAUGUUUGUGAGCCUGUAUUCAAGGCUGCUUCUUAGUAUAUGCCACCCUCCAUUCUCUCUGGACUGCUCCAGUGCUUGAAAGUUUGAAAGGAGAGAACGAGCCACAAUCAAGGAGGCUUCCCACAUCACCAGGCUCUUUGGCCUGCCACCUUGGUCUCCUUUUCUCUUGUUGCUGCCUCCCAGCAAGAAUGGCAAAGCUGCUCCACUGAGCUCACUAGCACCUGCUGGCUCAACUCAAUCUCCUCUGGUCCUUUUCAAAACUCUCUCCCUAUACAGUGGCCUCUCAACGAACCUCCUUCUUUCAGGCUGACUUCCAUCUUUCAGCCCUGUCUCCCCGCUCUUGUGAGCAGCCAGGACCAGGGAGAUGAGACCUCAUGUGAGAAUGAGUUGCCUGAAGAAGAAUUCUGACUCCAAGACUCUCCUUAGUCUGUCUUUCUUGUCUAUGGUUUUAUCCUCCCCCCGUCCAGAAGCUGAACAGCCUGCCGUGGAACCAUCUGCUGAGACAAGGGCGUUGAAUCUCUGCUACAGGACCUGGAGCUGUCAGGACUCCAUGAAGACUCUGCUGGUGAAGAAGUGCAUUAGGCAGCUGGGAGGAUCCAGAUUGGACUCAGAGAAGGUCCCCAUAGGUUGGAUUAACCAUAUAGGGUGCGGCUUUGUUGUCAAACACUGCCCUCAUAACCCAGUCCCACCACCCUGAGGCUUGUCAUAGCUGGGGAUGACUUGACAGUGGAGGACUGGAGGUGGCUUUAGCUUUCUACAGAUUGAGGAAUGUUUGCUAAGCUUCAUGAAUGAUCUUUAACUAGAAAAUAAUACUCCUAGCUGCACAACAAAAUAAAACUGAUGUUUUGACAAUAGCUAAUUGCUUUCAAGAAAUGAAAUGCAAAUUUAUUUCAUAGUUUUAUCCUAAGCACUCUUAGCCUACUGAAUGAUAUAGUAAUGAUCAACCUGAUAUUUCUAUAUGUGCUUUAAAGAAUUUCUGAGGUGGUCUGUCUUCCGUGGCACCUAGGACAAUAUUUAAAGUGUACAGUUAGAAAAGAGAGGCUCUUUUUCCUCCAGAGCAUAAGUUAAGUGAACUGAACAGCAGCCUUUUGAGACCUGGAGACCCAUACACAGUGUAAGAAAGAGGCCAGCUACAUAGGUAACCCCUAGAUGAUGGCCAAGUAGCCACCUGCCCUUGCCCUGAAGUAGUCUAAAAGUGUCUGAAAGGACUUAGGAGGGAUUCAUAAAGUCCUCAGAGGAAGCUGGAGUGGAGGUCAUAGUGUCCCAGACUCCCUCCCUCCCUCCCUCCCUACCUACCUUCUUCCCUUCCUCCCUCCCUUCCUCUCUUCCCUCUUUGCUUUGGACAGAUCAAUUUGCACUUCCUUUGUUUUUCGUAUACUUUACUUUGAAGGAUUUGAUCUGUUUUAGUCAUGCAUUAAACAGAGGUAGUGGCACAAACAAGAAGCCUUAUUAUUGUGUACCUUUAUCACAAGCAGCUCUCUUUGCAUUUGAGAGUAAAUACAGGGAAUUAUAGGCUGCAAAUAUCUCCCUUGGUGAUAGCAUCAUUGAUCAGUUUGUAUAGCUGUUCUUCUGUUUAUUAGACAAAGUGAUGCUUUCCUUAUGGCUGGUGUUUUAUAAGCUAUGUGCCCUUCAUACUGGCCACCAAGCCUUAGAGAACGCUAGCCCUCAUGGCCAUUUUAUUGAUUAAGUAUUAUGAUAUUUUCCUAGCUGGGUGAUUUUUUUAAGAGUACUUGGAAAUGUCUAAUUUUAUUUCAUUAAUUUUUAAAUUAAAUAUUUAAGGGAACACCUAAGAUCAUUUGUGGAAAGAGAAUAAGACUUCCUUUCUCUCUUCGGUGGUGAGGUCUAUUUGACAACACUUCAGAAGAUUUCUGGAGAGACAUUAGGUCUGUACUUACUUCACAUGUCUAGAUAUCUGUUUAUCCUCUCUUGAAGCACAGGUGUUCAGAAAUUGUCUACAUAGCUCUAUUAGGCUAUGUGUCAUUUACACAAGUAACCCAGAUUAUAGAACUAACGUUAAUACAACACAAAUCUGUCAUCUUUAUGGCUCUGUUUUUCAGAGCUGAAGAUGAAGAGACUUCUGAACCAGACCUCCCUGGAGGUUCUACGGGGCGAUCUGUUCCCUGUACCUUCUAGCUCCUGCAGCUGCCCUCACUCCUUAGCUGGAGGCCCCUUCCACUUCUUAUAAAGCCAAAAUUUCCAGGCUAAGUCUCCCUCAUUCUGAUUCUGAUGUUCCUCCACCCCUGUCUUCGACUUCAGUCUCUUCUAAUCACAUUUGUGCCACUAUGGUUGUCUUAAUCCAUUUCCUGUUCUUACAUUAAACUGUGUAAGUUAGGACUGGGUUAGGGUUCAGUGGUAAACCGCUUGUCGGUACGUCUGCAACCAGGGCUUGUAUUCCCAGGAGCUGUGACAACAGCCAAAAAUAAAAUGAGAGAACCAAAGAAGGGGGGAGUGAGAGAAGGAGGGAGAGAGGGAGGGAAGAAGGGGGCUCAUUAACUCACAGAUUGGGAGGUUCAAGUUCAUGCUAUGGUGAGGCUUCUUGGUGAUGGCAUCAAAAUGGCAAAUGUGUAAGGGAGGCACCUAGCAUAGCCAGAAUCCCUUAUAGCCAGGCACCUCUGCAGAACCAGCCGAGUUCUACACUGAUCUCCUCUGAAGAUGGUACCCUCAUGAGCUAAUCAUGGCCUUCCCAACUCACCUCUGUAGAAGAAUUUCUAAACAGUCUUGUUAAAUAAGAAACACAGAGCCAAAAUACAGGGGCAAUAGCUGAAGGGAACAGAGAAAUAGUGAAGAGCCAUGACUAGCCUUAGCUUACCACCACGCAGUAGCUUGCCCAGAGAGAGAGCUUCUUCCUGUCUAACCUGUGCCUUUAUUGCCUUCCUGUUCUGCCUUCUCAUUGGCUCUAAGCCCAGCCAUAUCACUUCCUCAUCACUGCCUGUCUAUACAGACCUCCAGGUCUCUAUGGUUGGUACUGGGAUUAAAGGCGUGUGUCACCAUGCUUGGCUGUGUCCUUGACCACACAGACUCUGCCUGCCAUGUGAUCGGAUUAAGGGCAUGUGCUACCACCACCUGACUUCUGUUUUAUAGCUCGCUAUGACCUCUGAUCUCCAGGCAAACUUACUUAUUAACAUAAAAAUAAAAUAUCACAUUUCAGAACAAAUAAAGUAUCACCACACACCUCUAAAAAUUCUUAUCAUACAUUAAUUUUUCAAGUAAUAGAUUCUGUUGUUACAUUUUCAUACAUGUUUAUAAUGCACCUUAGCCACAUUGGACCCUUAUCUUCUGUACUCUGCAAGGUCUGUUCUUCCUCUUUCCUGAUAAUCUCCCUUCAACUGUCAAUAUUUUUUUUGUGGGGGGGGAUGCUGGGUCUUACUAUGUAGCUCUAUAUGGCUUCACAAUCACUAUGUAAACCAAGUAGGCCUCAAACUCACAGAAUGUGCCUAGCGGGUGCUGGAAUUAAAGGCCUUUGUUGACACAUCCAGCUUCAAAUUGUUACCUUUUUUAAACCUAGCUUCUGCAUGUGUGCUAAAACAUGCAGUGUUCAUGGUUUUGAGUCUGACUUCUUUUGUCUACUGUAAUUCUACCCAUUUUCUGUCAGAGGACAUGAUCUCCUUCUUCUCUGUGGCUGAAUAAUGCUCAUUGUGUACAAAUGACUCUUUUUAAAAGCCGUCCAUCCUGUGACAGUAAACCUAUCUGUUUACUGUCCAGUCGUCUCAAUACUAUGACACUUAGCACCAAGCUUCCAGAACAUGACACUUUGGGAGGCACAUUUAGACUACAUUCAAACUAGAGCACAAAUAAUUCAAGACAAGCCCAGUGUUAAAACCAACUAAUUUAGUAAUGACAGUCUAGUCACAAUCUUAACUUUUCUCUCCUAUGUUAUAUAACAUGUUUCUAUGUCCUAGGGCAAGACAUUGUCAUCUUUGGACAAGCAUUAUCUGAUUGUGUAUCACAGAAAUAUUUGUUAUAUCACAUCUUUCCGUUGUUUUGGAUAUUUGACAUAUAUGAUUUGUUUGAUCCUGUUUCUUCUGUCUCCUGAAUUACUUAACUGUAAUUUAGAACAAAGGAAAUCUACCCCAUAUCUAAACUUACAUCUCACAGAUGGAGAUUCAGUGAGGCAUAGUACAUAAGGCACAACAUCUCCGAGAUAGGCUUCUUGGAAUCCACAUACUAAUUAGGGAAUGAUGGCCAAAUUCUUGAUGUUUUGACUCCUAGCAGUUUAGAACUAUUUAUAAAUAUCUAUAAUUACAUUUUUUCAUAUUUCAAAGCUUUUCCAUAAUGGCCAUUGCUGUAAUUAUCUAUCUAUCUUUCUAUCUAUCUAUCUAUCUAUCUAUCUAUCUAUCUAUCUAUCUACCUAUCUAUCUAUCAUGUAUCUAUCUUUAGCAUUUAUCAACACAGUAAAGAGCAAAGAGUAUAUCAAAUUCUGCAAAGCCUGCAGAAUGCCUUUCAGGAGCUCUGACCUUGAAAUAGAUCAGAGAUUAGUAAAUUAUUGCUCACAGGCCACAUCCUACUUACCACCUGUGUUUGUAAAUGAACUUUUAUUAGAACUUAGGCUGACAUUUAAAAAAUUAAUUUGUUGUUAGACAAUUUCAUACACGUAUAAAGCGCAUUCCGUUCAUGCUCAGCAUUCCAGCACCAUUUAUUGGAGAUGCUGGUUUGUUUUUUCUCUAAUGUGUAUUUUUGGCAUCUUUGUUGAAAAUCAAGUACCUGGUGUUGAGAAAUCUGUAUAUCAACCUACAGAAGAAUGAAAUGAGAUUCGUAUUUCUCACCUUGCACAAAAAUAAGCUGGAGAUGGGUCAAAAGCUUCAACAUCAAAUCUGAUCCUCUGAGACUACUAGAGAAAAUGGGAAGGCACUCACCUACUCACCUCAACAGUGAGGUUCAGAUAGAGACUCCCUCAACAGGAUUUUGGUAAUGCAGGAAAUAAGAACAUACAUAAAUAAACAAGACAUCAUGAAACUAAAAAGCGUCUGUGCAGCAAAGGAAACUGCCAGUCAAGUGAAAACCCAGCCCAGAGAAUGGGGAAAAGUGUUUUCUAACUACAUGCCUGUGAGAAGAAUAAAGAACCCCAAACUAAACUCCAAGACAACCAACCAACCAACUACAGAAUGAGCUAUGGAAAAAAAAAAAACAGAUUUCUAUAAAUAAAUAAAUAAAUAAAUAAAUAAAUAAAUAAAUAAA